GCGGGCGUGGUGGAACUGGUAGACGCGCCAGACUCAAAAUCUGGUACCGCAAGGUGUGUCGGUUCGAUUCCGACCGCCCGCACCA
rnacentral:tRNA from 2 species